AUUUUGGGCAAUGGGGGAAACCCUGAUCCAGCCAUCUCGCGUGUAUGAUGAAGGCNUUNNGGUUGNANAGUACUUUUGGCAGANNNNNAAAGGUACCUCUUAAUACGAGGUACUGCUGACGGUAUCUGCAGAAUAAGCACCGGCUAACUACGUGCCAGCAGCCGCGGUAAUACGUAGGGUGCAAGCGUUAAUCGGAAUUACUGGGCGUAAAGCGUGGGUAGGAGGUUCGGAAAGAAAGAUGUGAAAGCCCAGGGCUCAACCUUGGAACUGCAUUUUUAACUGCCGAGCUAGAGUAUGUCAGAGAGGGGUAGAAUUCCACGUGUAGCAGUGAAAUGCGUAGAUAUGUGGAGGAAUACCGAUGGCGAAGGCAGCCCCCUGGGAUAAUACUGACGCUCAGACACGAAAGCGUGGGGAGCAAACA
rnacentral:rRNA from 1 species